UACGGAAGGCAGCAGUGGGGAAUAUUGCACAAUGGGCGGAAGCCUGAUGCAGCGACGCCGCGUGGGGAUGACGGCCUUCGGGUUGUAAACUCCUUUCGACAGGGACGAAGCUUUUUGUGACGGUACCUGUAUAAGAAGCACCGGCUAACUACGUGCCAGCAGCCGCGGUAAUACGUAGGGUGCGAGCGUUGUCCGGAAUUACUGGGCGUAAAGAGCUCGUAGGUGGUUUGUCGCGUCGUCUGUGAAAUUCCGGGGCUUAACUCCGGGCGUGCAGGCGAUACGGGCAUAACUUGAGUGCUGUAGGGGAGACUGGAAUUCCUGGUGUAGCGGUGAAAUGCGCAGAUAUCAGGAGGAACACCGAUGGCGAAGGCAGGUCUCUGGGCAGUUACUGACGCUGAGGAGCGAAAGCAUGGGUAGCGAACAGGGAUUAGAUACC
rnacentral:rRNA from 1 species